UUCAGAAAAGUGUAUUUUCAUGCUUUAGUAAUUCUGAAAAUUAUCAAGAUUUAAAUUAAUAUUAAAUGUGCUUGCCAGCCACUACCAAAAAAGAAUAAGUUGUGAGGAAGAUGUAAUACUUUUGGGCUGGUAGGAGCAAUCUGCCGUCAAAUAUGAGCACUAAUUGUUGGAGAUAAAGUCAAAAGAUCGGCACUUGAAAAUUAUGAAUUCUCCCUGUGAUGUAUAAAGCCAGAAAGAGCAUGAAUACCAUUCUAACAAUAAGAAAAAGCUGGAUCAAUUACAAAAUCACAUAAGUUUUCAUGAAUCCAUCAGAGAAUUGAGGUUAUUGCACAAACAAGUAGCCUGAUACCUAAGACAAUAUGAGUUAAUUUCCCAUGGGAAGAUUUGAUGUGAGCACUGACCCACAGUGGCAGAGAAGAGGAAGAAGAGACAUGGAUACCAUACAA